ACCAAACCGAGUUGGACCGAUUUUUACGACCUUGAUUCUGAAUAAAGAAAACCUAACGAUGAACCGGUCUGCUCCAUUGGGCCCUGCUCCCUCCCUCUCAGCUUCUUCAAUUGAAACUCUGUGUUUGUGUUGAGCUUUGCUGAUUAAUUCCUGAAUUCUGGUUCUGGAGUAUUUGUUGACUUUUUCUGAUAAAGUUUUGAACUUUAUGGAUGAUCAAGCAAUUUUCUCACUGCCCUUUAUUUGUUUGUUGUUGGGUUUUAAGGUAAUUUGAAUACCAUUGUGAAGCAUUUCAAGAAUAUGUAUUGGGGUUCUUGUAAUUGCGAUAUAGCUGCUGACAUUUUGUAUAUAUAGAUUUAUAGUUUUGUAGUGUUAUGAGUUCCUUACACAUUUAGAAAGCUGGAACUUUUUAAGAGUUCAAGUGUUUGAUUGGGAUUAUGUAUCUUGUAUGACGGAAGUCGUUCCUUGUAAAUUUGGACUCGGGUUUGUUUGUUAGUGACUACCUCAACCUCGGAGCAUUCAUAUGGUAUUCAGUUGAAUGUUUUUGAGUUUGAUCAAUUACUGAAGCAGAUUUGUUGUGCAGCUUUGAUUUAUCUUUUUCAAUUUCCGAUUUUGACUGUGAUGGUGUUUGUGUGUUGUAAAUUAGUUGCUAUGUGAUCAGGAGUGUAUCUGGAAAGAAUUACUAAGAACGAAGAUAUAUUCUCUUGCCUGUGCAGCUAUAAUAAAUAAUUAAUGACUUCUGUUUGCGUUCGAUUGUCAUAUGGUGGUUCUUAAUUGUUGACAGGGUUUUGACUUGCUAAGUGUUUUGACUUUUAUGUUCUAACUAUGCAAUUUAUGCUCCUAUGCUGCAGAGCCUAUUUAUGAUUGUAGGUGGAUAUCUUCUAACCCUGUCAGACAAAAUGUCUUCCUUGUUCUGAAGUUAUCCGUCUGCAAAAAUGGAACCUUAGAAAGUUAUAGCUAUAUGCAAGUCGCGGGGUAAUUUUGAAUUGGGGGAAGACGGCCUUUUGUCAUACAAUGGGGGGGGGGGGGGGGGGGGGAGCCUAUGCAGUUGAUUUCGAUAGGCAAACUCAGUUGAGUGAGUUUAAGAAAGAAAUUGCUGAAACUUUUAGAUAUAGUGCUGAGGACAUGUCAAUCAAAGUACUUUCUCCCUGGAAAUAGAAAGACACUUAUUACAAUAUCGAAAGAAAAGGAUCUUCAGCGAAGGGUGAACUUUUAUGGGAACUUCGAUCAAGUUGAGGUGUUUAACUGGACUGAGGAUUUUUGCUGCCCGGAACCUUUCAAAUGCCUACCAGUAGCAUUCAGUUGCUCAUCGGUUCACGAGAAGGAAAAAGGAUGAGCCCUUUGUUGCGUCUGGCACGAGAUGAUAAAGAGAGAGCUUCGUCUAUCGAUGAACAAUGGAUUGACGGAGCUCUUUUGCUAUUUUCUCGAAAUUUUGGUGUAUUUGGACUGUAUCAAGGUGCAAGUAACCAUGAAGAGCUUCACAAUUUAAAUAAAGCAACAGUGAUGAUUCGUAGACUCAAGAAGGACGUGCUGACUGAACUUCCUAUGAAACAGCAUUCUAUAUCCAAGAAUUUCAACCUGGGAUUUCAACCUGAAAUUUAAGCGCACUAGUAGAAAUCCCAGGUUGAAAUUCUUGGAUAUAAAAUGUUGUUUCAGAUUGAGGAAUAUUGACCUUUAUGCGGAGAGUUUUGAAAUACUUGAAUUCGACGGUCCAUUAGAACACUUUUGGUUUAAUCAUGUUCCGCAGAUGGUUCAGUUGUGUGCAUGUGUUUCUGGAGACAGAUUUGUAGAAUUUUCAACUUACGCACUAUCCAGUAUUGCUAUUGAUGCACCUCGACUACGGAUACAGAUUCGUCACGCAAUAUCCCAAGUAUACAACUGAUAUCACAUACAAUAUAUCAGUGUCGAUAGUCCAUAUUAAGUUCCAACUUUUUGACAAAGAACUUGUCGUCAUUGCUCCUCCCUUUAGUGGCAAGAACGACAUCAAUCGCCAAAGAAUAUAGGCCAUUGUUUUCUUGCAAUUCAAUAAACAAACAAUAAAUAAAAUGAGAUAGUCACAUAUUCAAAUAAAGAAUUGGGAAAUUUGCAAAAAUACACAUGUUUUCAAACUUAAUUUCAAAAAUAUUGUGCAUAUGAGGUUGCAAAGCGUUGAAAACAGUUGCUUUUCAAGUUGCUACAGUUGCAAUUGAGAUUGCACAACCAUGAUCAAUUAUAAUUGCCGAAAUCAAAUACACAUUAUCAAACCAAACUUCAACUCAAACAAAAUUCAGGAAAUCAUAUGACUGAUACACCUUGUGUUGGGUUUCGGGGCAACAAACGCAACGGAUAAUCGACGUAAAAUCAAAAUUUUCCGAAACCCUAACCGAGGAUCCAUCUAUAAAGUAUGGCUGAUCAUGGAGAUACGAAAUAAUACCUUGUUGAAGUUUUACGUUAGCGAAAGAUGGAGGUCCGGAACAAGCAAUCACCACGCAGCCCUCGGUCUAAGGAUCGCGUCUCUAAGCAGUCCACACGAACGUCUGAUCGCCAAAGAUCACCGGAGCCGGUACUAGCCGAAUGCAGCCUCUCUCUCUCUCUAGCCUCUCUCUUGAUGUAGAGCUGCUAGGGUUUUAAUGAAACGAAUUUUAUAUAACACUUAACCCUAAAACAAUACAUCAUUAUGUAUUUAUAGGGAAGAGAGAUAGAUGGGCCAAACCCUAAUCGGAUUUGGGCUUCUCCAAACCUAAUCCGAUUUCGGUUUUAAUAUUAAAUUCGAAAUUCUAAUUACUUAGUUAAGACCGGCUCAAUUAAACAAUUUAUUUCGAACUUAAUCAUUUAAUUUAAAUUCAGAAUUUAAAUUAAAACACCUUUAAACGUUCUAAGUGUGUGACCCUUUAGGUUAUUAUUACGUUGGCAAUAAUUUUAAUAUCCAAUAAUAAAAUUAUAAACAAUGAGCGGCAUCUAGUAAUACAUCAUUGCUACCCAAGUAAUAAUAAUAAUUGGUGAUUCAAUUAAACCUUUUGUGAAUAAUGUACAAUGUAAUAUAAUCCCUUUAACCUUAUAUUAUAGAUCAGACUCAAGACAUGUAUUGUGUCAUCCUCUUCAUCGUCUAAUCCGAAUUUCCUUGAUCAAUGAGUAGACUAUUAAACAAAUCAAUAUUUGAGCACGGCCAUGCAUUUUAUAGUCUUACUCAAUCAAGAGGCCAAUAAUAUCACUCCUAAAAUAGGAGGUUAAAUCCUUUCUAGAUCAUUCAUAUUUCUCAUACGAUUCAUAAUAUACCCAAUGUACAUUUCAUCAUCACCCGGUCAAAGGUAACUUUUAGUGUAACCAAAGUAUACUAAUUCUCAUAUAGAAAUAUAAUGAUAUCAAGUCAGAGGAUCAUUACAUCAUCAUCACAGUGAGAAUUUCUAAUGACACUUAUUAACAUGUAAAAUCUCACGGUGGGUCAUUCCAGUGCCAUGUGUGGAUACAUGCACUUAUGUUCUUGACUUUAGCAUCACUAUACCUAUGAUCAAUGAGAUGUGAUAAUCAGUUAACAAACAUACCAGUCUUAAUGCAUCAUUAUUGUCCCUUAACAAUAAUACUCGACUAGGGACAUUUAGGAAUAUUGAUAUUAUUCUCAUAAUCUCAUUUCUAAGUCACGUACUUAGAGAUAUAGAAUUACAUAUAAUAUUCCAAGGACAUUUAUUAUGCUUUCAAUUUAUUACGCAGUAAAUAAAGACAUAAUAAAUAUUUAUUCAAUAAUCAAUAAAACAUAAUCCAUAAAUGUCUACGAUAAAACACAAUAGUAUUGUCUCUAGGACACCAAUACUAACACCUUGAUCAUAGCAUAAUUGAACAACAAGAUUGGAGAUUCCUAGUCUAAGCCACAAAAUGGGAUUUCUUGAUCAUACAAGAUACAGUUAAACGUUAAGCAACAUUUGUGAAAGAUGAGAGUGAUUAGAAUUGUACCGGGACUUGGGUGAGUAUAGGCGGUGAUGGGGUACAAUGGGAUAGAUACCAGAAAGCUGCAAUGGGACAAUUUAGUUGCGUUAUACUUUUGAGCCAAUUCAGUACAGGGCAACUAAAUUUUCCCAUUACAGCUCUCUGCUAUCUAUACCAUCGCACCAUGUUACCUCGUAUACCAACCCAAGUCCAGGUAAAAUUCUAAUCACUCUCAUCUUUCACACAUGUUCCUAAACGUUUAACUGUAUAUUGUAUGUGAUCAAGAGAUCCCAUUUUGUCGCUUAGACUAAGAAUCUCCAAUCUCGUUUUUCAAUUAUAAUGAUCAAGGAGUAUUAGUUAUAUGAUUAGCUGAAUUUUGUUGAGUUGAAAUUUGGUCUCAUACUGUAUGUUUGAUUUUGGCAAUUAUAACUGAUCAUGGUUGUGUAAAUUACGUGAAUGACCGUGUGUGGUUUGAUUGUUGUACCAGUGAUCAUUCUUUAAGACACUGUUAGAUUUCAUAUUGGUCGUGUCGUUGAAUAACUUUCAAUUUCAUGAAUAUCCCCGGACUGAUUGAUUGGGUUAGAUUUAUUGAUUAUUGUAUUUUUUUUUUAACUUUUAAUUUUUUUUUUUCAAUUUGGUUUGAUAUCGAAUAUGAGGACUCUAAACACGAGACUAGUUAACAUGGGAAGGCAUACCCAUGGUAGUGUGUGAAGAUCUAUAUGAAGAUGAUGGAUAUGAUCAGUGGCUCCAGUAAGGCCAUUGUGUGCAACCAAAGUAGAGUAAGUUGGUGCUAUGUUAGGAUCAGGCCGGGCGUAGUAUCCCGGGAAAAAUUAAGGUAUUUGGUUUGUGAUAGUUGAUGGCAUAAUGGGGUUACCGGGAUGGAAAUAUGACUAUAUUAUUAGGUGAACCAAUGAGAAUUCAGAUAAAAUAUUUAUAUUCUUCCAGUUGAUGAACUGCUUAAAAAGAAUUGUUCAAUUGUUUUGAUUGAUGGAUAAGUUAUGGCCUUGGCCUUAUAUAUUAAUAUCUGUGAUUAUGAGGACAGGUGUUGGAUUGGGAUUAUGUAUCUUGUAAGUCAGAAGUCAUUCCUUGUAAAUUUGGAGUCGGGUUUGUUUUUUGGUGACUCCCUCAACCUCAGGAGUAUUCAUAUGGUAUUCAGUUGAAUGUUUUUGAGUUUGAUCAAUUACUGAAGCAGAUUUGUUAUGCAGCUUUGAUUUGUCUUUUUCAAUUUCCGAUAUGUGUGACUGUGUUUGUGUGUUGUCAAUUAGUUGCUAUGUGAUCGGGAGGGUAUCUGGAAAGAAUUGCUAAGAACGAAUAUAUAUUCUCUUGCCUUUGCAGCUAUAAUAAAUAAUCAAUGACUUCUGUUUGUGUUUGAUUGUAAUAUGGUGAUUCUUAAUCAUCACACAACUUAUAGGGUUUUGGCUUGCUCAGUGUUUUUACUUUUAUGUUCUAACUUUGCAAUUUAUGCUCCAAUGCUGCAGAGUCUAUUUAUGAGUGUAGGUGGAUAUCAUCUAACCUGAUUGUACAAUAUGUCUUCCUUGUUCUGAAGUUA